AGGAUGAACGCUGGCGGCGUGCUUAACACAUGCAAGUCGAACGAUGAAGGCUGGAGCUUGCUCUGGCUGGAUUAGUGGCGAACGGGUGAGUAACACGUGAGUAACCUGCCCCAGACUCUGGGGUGAGCGCUGGAAACGGCGUCUAAUACCGGAUACGAGCUUCCACCGCAUGGUGAGGAGCUAGGAAAGUAAUUUCGGUCUGGGAUGGACUCGCGGCCUAUCAGCUUGUGGUGAGGUAAUGGCUCACCGAAGGCGACGACGGGUA
rnacentral:rRNA from 1 species